rnacentral:rRNA from 1 species
GUCAAGUCAUCAUGGCCCUUAUGACCAGGGCUACACACGUGCUACAAUGGUCGGUACAGAGGGUUGCCAACCCGCGAGGGGGAGCUAAUCCCACAAAGCCGAUCGUAGUCCGGAUCGCAGUCUGCAACUCGACUGCGUGAAGUCGGAAUCGCUAGUAAUCGCGAAUCAGCAAUGUCGCGGUGAAUACGUUCCCGGGUCUU